AUAACACAAGACUGAAGUCGGUGGUCUGAUUCGUUUUAUUGUCAUUUAAAGCUGAUUUAUGUACAGAAAGACUCAUUGCAUACAUCCACCGUGGAACUGCGCUCUUAUUUUGAAAGAACAGGAAGUGUUAGAAUGCUGUUGAGUCUGGUUUUACACUUAAUGAUUUAAAUAUGAAAUAUGACAUUUUCACAUCAGAGCGCCUCAGAAACAUGAAAACUAAACUUUUAAUUAUACACACACACACACAGACAGACAGAAACACACACACAGACACACACACACCCACACAGACUCACACACACACACACACACACACACA